rnacentral:lncRNA from 1 species
AUAAUUAUUGGAGGCGCGACAUGCCUGGUACUUAUCAAGCAUUAGAAUUGUUAUUCAAUAUAUGAUGAGUUAAAUGUACCUUCAAUAGGCGGUCAGGUGAGCCGAGUGACACUCGGGCUUAGUCGUCUAUUAGUUGAUUAGACAUAACCCUAUCAUUUAAUGGUUGGACUUGACUAGGAUAUUCGGUGGAGGCGCCACACGCCUGCCGAAGAACCUAGGACAAAAUUAUCACUAGAAGUUGCUUAGUGAAGCAACUGGUUUAGAACCUACCAAUAGGUGCAUAUGGAUUGGCCAAGCCACACUCGGGCCCAUAUGCGAUCUAUUGGGUUCUAGUGCCCAUUAAAGAAUUAAGAGUAAUUUUUUGAAUUGGAGGUAGAGGCUACCAAUUUAUAUAAAAUAGUAGGAGUAUCUUUAGACUAAAGUCUAAGU